rnacentral:rRNA from 1 species
GACGAACGCUGGCGGCGUGCUUAACACAUGCAAGUCGAGCGGUAAGGCCCUUUCGGGGGUACACGAGCGGCGAACGGGUGAGUAACACGUGGGUGACCUGCCCUUAGCUCUGGGAUAAGCCUGGGAAACUGGGUCUAAUACCGGAUGUGACUCCAUGACGCAUGUUGUGGGGUGGAAAGCCUUGUGCGGCUAGGGAUGGGCCCGCGGCCUAUCAGCUUGUUGGUGGGGUGAUAGCCACCAAGGCGACGACGGGUAGCCGGCCUGAGAGGGCGACCGGCCACACUGGGACUGAGACACGGCCCAGACUCCUACGGGAGGCAGCAGUGGGGAAUCUUGCGCAAUGGGCGAAAGCCUGACGCAGCGACGCCGCGU